GAAAAAGGAUGAUAGUGGAAGCGAAGAUGUGCGGCCGCAGUCUCCGAAGAAGAAGGAGGCGCUGGGAUGGAUGGAGUAGCUGAGGGGGUUGUUGUACGUGGUCUAUGAGAUGCUGUUC